rnacentral:rRNA from 1 species
GACGAACGAUGGCGGCGUGCUUAACACAUGCAAGUCGAGCGGAGCGGCGAACGGGUGAGUAACGCGUGAGUAACUGCCCCCCUCACUGGGAUAACAGUUGGAAACGGCUGCUACUACCGGAUAGUGGGGGAUGACUCGCGUCCUCUCAGAUUGUGGGUGGGGUAGUGGCCAACCAAGGCGACGACGGGUAGCAGGCCUGAGAGGGCUACCGGCCACAUUGGGCUGAGAUACGGCCCAAACUCCUACGGGAGGCAGCAGUGGGGAAUAUUGCACAAUGGGGGAAACCCUGAUGCAGCAACGCGCGUGCGGGAGGACGGCCUUCGGGUUGUAACCCGCUUUCAGCCAUGACGCGGUAGUGGCAGAAGAAGCACCGGCUAACUACGUGCCAGCAGCCGCGGUAAUUC